rnacentral:rRNA from 1 species
UACGUAGGGUGCAAGCGUUGUCCGGAAUUAUUGGGCGUAAAGAGCUCGUAGGCGGUUUGUCGCGUCUGCUGUGAAAACUCGGGGCUCAACUCCGAGCUUGCAGUGGGUACGGGCAGACUAGAGUGCGGUAGGGGAGACUGGAAUUCCUGGUGUAGCGGUGGAAUGCGCAGAUAUCAGGAGGAACACCGGUGGCGAAGGCGGGUCUCUGGGCCGUAACUGACGCUGGAGGAGCGAAAGCAUGGGGAGCGAACAGG